rnacentral:tRNA from 1 species
GGGCGGUUAGCUCAGUUGGUAGAGCAGCGGACUUUUAAUCCGUUGGUCGCGAGUUCGAGUCUCGCACCGCCUACCA